rnacentral:rRNA from 1 species
GACGAACGCUGGCGGCGUGCUUAACACAUGCAAGUCGAACGGAAAGGCCCUGCUUUUGUGGGGUGCUCGAGUGGCGAACGGGUGAGUAACACGUGAGUAACCUGCCCUUGACUUUGGGAUAACUUCAGGAAACUGGGGCUAAUACCGGAUAGGAGCUCCUGCUACAUGGUGGGGGUUGGAAAGUUUCGGCGGUUGGGGAUGGACUCGCGGCUUAUCAGCUUGUUGGUGGGGUAGUGGCUUACCAAGGCUUUGACGGGUAGCCGGCCUGAGAGGGUGACCGGCCACAUUGGGACUGAGAUACGGCCCAGACUCCUACGGGAGGCAGCAGUGGGGAAUAUUGCACAAUGGGCGGAAGCAUGAUGCAGCAACGCCGCGUGCGGGAUGACGGCCUUCGGGUUGUAAACCGCUUUCGCCUGUGACGAAGCGUGAGUGACGGUAAUGGGUAAAGAAGCACCGGCUAACUACGUG